rnacentral:lncRNA from 1 species
GACCAUGUGGCAUUGCCUGGUUAUCCAAGCCUAUGAGACGUUGACACGUGACACUUUUUAGACAACUCGCAUCAAGGUUAAUUCAUUUAGUUUUCAACUGCAGUAAAACAAACCCCUCAACUAUCGCCGUUAAGUGAUAGUGUGAUAAAAAAAUGUAAAUCUCUGAAUUUUGUUCGUCCUCUCGCCGUCUGCCUUUCUCUUUGUGUUCUUUUCAGCAGAAGCACAAGGAAGCUUGUGGGUUCAGUUAAGCCUUGUCGUCGCCCAUAAGAUCCACUUUGUCCAACAAUUGGGAUUUUCAGUUCCCCGUAGCUAUUACCCGAUCUCCUCCACGCGUCCCCAGGUUUCUUCUCUUCUCUUCUCAUUUCCCAAUUGUUUUUCUUGCUCUUUGGGUCUUGCUAGUUUUUGUUAAUUUUGGUUAGAGAGUUGAAUGAUUGUGAUCAGACUCACUUUUCGGAGAAGAAAAGAAAAUUGAAAAUGGGAGAACUGAGUUCAAAGAAAGAGAAUUUGGGAAACGAAAUCCGCACAAACCGACGGAGGUGAGUAUUCGACGAUUUUGGUUAGUUAUAUGGAAUUGAUGAAACUUCGACGGCUCUCCCUUCUUGAAUAUGUUGUUUAUGGGAUUUGAUUUCUACACCAAAGUGAGGAAAAUUCUAUUAAGCUAUCAUAUAUUCAUAUUGGCUAUGAUUGAAUGGUACAUGACCAUAAUAGCUUGAAUUCCAGUAAAAGCUUUGUGGAUUUGGGAUUUGAAGUUUGAGGUUUUAUUUUUAUUUUUUGGAUUUGAAUUUUGCAGUUUUUGAAAUUUUACAUGUUAGUUGAUGUUGUUAUCCUUUUCAUGUUAAAGUCCAAUGUAUGAUUUAGCAGGUUAGAUGAGAUAUUGGAUUUGCUGAACCUUCAGGUAGUUAGAAAAUAUGCCAAUGUCUCCAAUGGAGGGGUGCCAUUUAAUUAGAAAGUAAACAUCCCACAUUGUUAUCAGCCCUAGACCACCAUUUUACACAUUUCAGACCAACAAUUUGAUUGCUUGUUUUCUCUGCUAUGUACUCAAAUCUAUUACAGCUACUGGGAUAGCUGCAUCACCAAAACUAGUUCUUUGUGUAUCACAGCUUAUGACUCUAAUUGUUUUACCAUCAAGGUCACACAGAAUACUUGAUUUUGGAUUAGUCAUUUACUUAUCCAUUUUGUCAAAUAUGGGUUCUGCUGAGAAAUGCCAGGAUGGCAAGUAAUUAAGCAACAAUUUUUGGAUGAUCCUUCUGAAACAACUAUAUACAUAGCUGGUUUGCAGGCUGCAUGGAAGCUUGGUGCUGCAUUCAAAUUGGUUAUCAUUUGAUUAUGACACUGCGUCUAGUAUCUGCUAAGUUUAUUGGUCUUUAGGUUCAAAAGUUUCGUUUUAUCGAAACUCUUAUGAGUUUUAUUUGGUUUGCAUAUAGUUCUCUUUUGAAGCUUGUAUUAUAUCUAAAUAUUUCUCAUGUUCUCUUUUUAGAUCUACCCCAAAUCCUGUUUUUUCUUUUUUUGAAUUCUGGGUGCACAGGCAGUGAGAUUGUAGUUGUCAGUGACAAACUAAGGAUAAAUUGGAAGAGCUUUAAGGUAUCUCAAUCAGUGAUUUCCUGAAUUACUUCAUUUGGAAGAGCCUUAAGAUAACUUGGUUAUUCUGAUUCCUAUAUGAUGUCUGAUAAUGUGUGGACAUGGGUGCAGGUUGAACCGUAACAGAUGAGGAUUGGCAUAGUUGAGUUUGAGGAUGAUGUGGUACUUGACAGUGAGGGUGACGAAGUUAAUGGAAGGUGACUCAUACAAGUAUGUCUCUGGACAAAAAGUGCACUGCAGGUUUGUAUAUUUGCUUCUUCUUUUUUUUGUUGUAUUUUGGUUAAUUUUUUGAUAGCAGUUGGCGUUGAACGUGUUGAUGAUAUGAAGUUUUUUUUCUUAAUGAAUGCUUGAGGAAGUAAUCUCUGCAAGACUUUGCAUUUACUAAUUUGAAUGACAAGUUUCUUGAAAUAAUUUUCAUACUACGGAGGAGUAAAGGCCGAAAUAUUUGUGCUGCUUGCAGAAUUUAGCUACAUCGACUCCCAUGAUCUUGGUUGGUCGCAUUACUGUAAGAGAAAGACAUUAGAUAAAUGGCUUUCAAACAUAUAUAUGAAGAUAGCUAGCAUCUAGGAUAAUAACAGGGUUUCAAAACUUUUCAAAUAUCGAUAAAAAACUGUGUGCUUGGUCAUAGUUAAGAUCAACUCAGUUAAAAUUGCAUAUGUGAAUGUGUAAAAUUCAAUCUUUGUGCAUAUACCAUAGGGACCAUUAGCACUCAAUAUUCAAUGAUAUAACUCAAAACAUGCAUCUCUCACAAGAAGUAAUGUUUUCAGCCAUUAACGUAAAACCUGAAGAGGAUAGAACUAUUAUGUUUCGAGUCACUUUCGUUUAACCAAAAACUAAUUAGGUCUCAUAGCUAGAAUACCAGCAUGAUGAAGAUGCCAAGGUGCAUUUGAGCAGCAGAGCAGUGAACUCCAGAUGCAAUGAACACCCAAAGUGAUAAUUGUAGAAAUAUAAUCCAUGUUACUUGAAGCAUUUUUCUCCUUAUGUGCAUAAACUAAAUGUCUAUUUAAAAGAGCUCUUACUUUGCUUUAUUGAAGGAUAUAGAUUGUGUCUCAUGUAUAUCGAUCUUUUUUUUUCUUCAUCACAUUGCUUAAUGAGCAUGCACCUUUGUUGUAUAGUCCAAUGGACUAAUUACAUUUUAUUUUUAGUUACAUUCAUGAAAUAUGUAGGAACCUCUAUGCAAUACUCUGAACAAGAAACAUGACAAGAAGUAUGUUCCAAUUUUAUAUGCUAAUUUUAUUGUUCCUUAUGUGGGAUAGAUGGGGUUGGAAGAAUUGUUGGACUGCUAAUCGAUCAGAGGAAGGCCCCAUCAAAGUGGAUGUCUAACCUGUUACUAGAGCUCUUUAAUUUGAUGAUGUAAACUCAGGUUGUCUGAGAGGGAUUUCCCCUUAGUGUUUGUUUGUUUCGUAUCAAAAAAAAGAGUGAAUGUCUAACGCGGACCAAACAAAAGUGGAGGUGUCAUCAUGCAUCUGGGAAUCAUACACCUGCUAAAUUUAUGCUUCGAAUUUCCAGUAUUUUUCCGUGUCUCAACAAUUGUAAAGUUCAUUCGUAUCAAAAAAACAAUUUGUAAAGUUCAUUCUUCAUAGAGUUGUGAGCAGCAUAUUGUAUCAUGAGGAAUUGAUGGGCUCGGAUGCAUAAUGAUUUACGUUUGCAG